rnacentral:rRNA from 1 species
UACGUAGGGGGCGAGCGUUGUCCGGAGUUGACUGGGCGUAAAGCGCACGCAGGCGGUCUGUUAAGUUUGGAGUGACAGUUGGUGGCUUAACUGCCAAAGUGCUUCGAAAACUGACAGACUUGAGGGCUUCAGAGGGACACGGAAUUCCGGGUGGAGUGGUGAAAUGACGUAGAGAUCCGGAGGAACACCAAAGGCGAAGGCAGUGUCCUGGGGAGUACCUGACG